rnacentral:pre_miRNA from 1 species
AGUGAAAUUGCUGAGUCAUAUGGUAACUCUAGGCAUAAUCUUUUGAGGAACUGCCACACUGUUUUCCAAAAUGACUUCACCAUUUUAAAUUUUUGCCAGCAAU